AGAUUGAACGCUGGCGGCAUGCCUAACACAUGCAAGUCGAACGGGAGUAGCAAUACUCUAGUGGCGGACGGGUGAGGAAUACGUAGGAAUUUGCCCUUAAGUGGGGGAUAACCCGGGGAAACCCGGAUUAAUACCGCAUGACCUCGAAAGAGCAAAGUGGGGGAUCGCAAGACCUCACGCUUUUGGAGAAGCCUACGUCGGAUUAGCUAGUUGGUGAGGUAAUGGCUCACCAAGGCGACGAUCCGUAACUGGUCUGAGAGGAUGAUCAGUCACACCGGAACUGAGACACGGUCCGGACUCCUACGGGAGCAGCAGUGGGGAAUAGUUGGACAAUGGGCGCAAGCCUG
rnacentral:rRNA from 1 species